GGCUGUGUGGCUCAAGCAAUAGAGCAGCUGCCUAACAAGUAUGAGGCCCUGAGUUCAAAUCCCAGUACCACCA
rnacentral:tRNA from 1 species